GACGAACGCUGGCGGCGUGCCUAACACAUGCAAGUCGAGCGGAGGCGCCUGAAGAGCAAUCGGAGGGUGUCUGAGCGGCGGACGGGUGAGUAACGCGUGAGCGAUCUGCCUUUCACAGGGGGAUAACGCAGCGAAAGCUGCACUAAUACCGCAUGAGACCACGGUACUGAUGGUACAGGGGUCAAAGGAGAGAUCCGGUGAGAGAUGAGCUCGCGUCCGAUUAGGUAGUUGGUGAGGUAACGGCCCACCAAGCCAAUGAUCGGUAGCCGGCCUGAGAGGGUGAAAGGCCACAUGGGGACUGAGAGACGGUCCACACUCCUACGGGAGGCAGCAGUGGGGAAUAUUGGGCAAUGGGGGAAACCCUGACCCAGCACCGCCGCGUGAGGGAAGAAGGUUUUCGGAUUGUAAACCUCUGUUCUUGGAGAAGAGAAGAAGACGGUAGCCAAGGAGGAAGCCCCGGCUAACUACGUGCCAGCCGCCGCGGUAA
rnacentral:rRNA from 1 species